AACCUGAAUCCACAACCAUCUCCAGCCACUACAAGUCAAGUGCCAUAUGAAGAAGUGAAAGCCUAUCUCAACAAGAUGAUUGGUUCAAAGGAGAUUGGAGAUGAUUUUAGGACUGUGCCAGGAACCUUAAACAAGAGCAUGGUGGUAGCCCUGUUUCCGGAACACAGAGGCAAGAACCGCUACAAAAACAACCCCACAUUUGAUGACACCCGGGUGGUUCUCUCCAGGCUUGAUGGCGACCCGUCCUCAGACUACAUCAAUGCCAACCAUGUGCCGG